ensembl:lncRNA
UUAUGGAGAACAAAUACGAGGAACUGCUCAUGUUUCUGUCUGUUGGGUCCUACCCAUCUGAAUACGAUAAGUCCCAGAGGCAAACCCUUAGGAGAUACGCCGCAAAAUUCAGGCUGAAGGGCGGAGUGCUCUUGUUUGGAAACAGGAGAGUGAUAAAAACAAAAGAAGAAGCCAUGGGACUAUUUCAAGAGUUUCAUUCAAGUCCCAUCGGUGGACACACUGGUGUACUCAAGACUCGAACUGCAAUUUGUUCCAGAUUUUACUGGUAUGGAAUGUCGGUUGACAUUGUUAAUUGGGUAUGUAUUUUUAAAGUUGUCAUUUAUAUAUAGUAUGUUAAUAGUGCACCAAUAGAAUGCAUAGUUAUCCUGAAGACCCGUACCAGAUUGAUGUACAGUAAUUAACACUGUAUCGCCACUUGAUCAAGUAUUUUUAUAGAACAUUAGCAAUUUUGUUGUUUAAUUAAUUGCGAUUGUUGGAUAAUAUAAAGAUCAUUCAAUAUGUUUAAGGUCCUGGCUUGUGACCAGUGUCAAAAAAUGGGAAAACCAUUGGCUGCUGUGCAACCACUGCAGUGUAUAAAGGUGUCACAUGUCUGGGAGCUAAUCGGAAUAGAUCUAACUGGACCUCUUCCAAAAACGUCUAGUGGCUUCCAGUACAUUAUGACUGCAACAGACUAUUUUUCAAAAUGGGUUGAGGCUUUUCCAUUAAAAAGCAAAAGUGCUGCUGAGGUAGCUCAUCAGUUGUGCUCAAUCAUAUAUAGACAUGGCUGCCCAAAACGAAUUUUAUCCGACCAAGGAAGGGAAUUUGUUAACGAGGUAAGUGUUAAGUUUACUUUUCCAUACCUCUUUAGGUAAAUACUUGGCCACAGUGUGCCAAGUAGCUGCCAGGCCAAAGGUUUUGUGUGAUUGUUUUUAAAAAACAAUUUUCUUUUUUCUUUGAAGCUCAACUCAAGACUUUGCAGCUUAAUGAAAAUAGAUAGAAGUGUCACAGCAGCGUAUCACCCUCAGACAAAUGGCCUCGACGAAAAGACAAAUGACAACAUAAAAAGAGCCCUGAGAAAAUUAGUCAACAGUCAACAGAAUGACUGGGAUGUGUAUCUGGAUGCUACACUGUUUUCUUUGAGGUCCAAGGUCCACACCACAACCAAAUACACACCAUUCCGUUUAAUGUAUGGGAGAGAAGCUACGUAUCCUUCUGAAGUUCCUGUCGAAGUCCCAUUGUCCUCCAUCAUUCUCCCUGAGGAGUCGAGUUACGGUGACUUUGUAUCUUCUACAAGAGACGCACAAGAGCAAGUUAAAAAAACUGUCGAGGAAAAUAUGGCAAAGUCCCAAGACUUACAAAAGGAAGCCUAUGCCAGACGAGUCCAGAAGAAGUACAGAAACCUUGUGUACAGCGUUGGAGAUGAAGUUCUUCUCUUGAACAUGAGGAAACGUGGAAGGAAGGGAGGAAGGUUUGAUCCAGAUUUUUCAGGACCCUACACCAUUCAAGACAUCACUGGCAAAUGUGUGAGAUUAAAAAACACGGAAGGAGCAACUUUAAAAAAUCACUACAGCAUUGACCAUAUCAAGCCGUACAGAAGAAGCCACCAUGUAAAUAUCAGUGACAAUGAAAAAUACCCAACUCACAGUCAGACAGUGAACAGCAGCACAGACCUGAAGAUGCCCCCCUGCCAUCCUCCUGCUGACCCUCAGUGCCAGCAAAGUCCAGAGGAUACCAGACCCUCUAUUAUUCAUUAUGCACCCAAAACGGCUGACAAAAGUUGUUACUCCCACAAGGAGUUUAUUUCUGUUCCAGGACCAGAAACGCGUGAACAAGAACUUCCCUCCCGGAAACAAAGCUUAGAAAGUGAAGGUGGCAUAGUGAACAACUCUUUUUGA